AUUUGGAAUGAUAACAUGUUGAAUGCACUAGUUUCCCACGGAUCACUGGAGUUAAGCAACGUUGCGCGUGGUUAGUACCUGGAUGGUGACCAUCUGACCUCUAAACCUACCUACCUUGAAUU
rnacentral:rRNA from 1 species